AGUGUUUGUCAGUGCGCGCAUGAAGAGCGGUUUAUUUCCCUGGCGCUAUUUACCUAUUCAAUAUGUAUUUUUAGCUGAACAUUUCUAGCAAAACUGUUUAUUAUCAUUUCGCGUCAAUAGUGUAAGGCAUUGUCAAUGGUUUGCAAGCUAAACUUUAUUCCGUUGUUGUUUUAUUUUUUAAUUAAACAACAAGAAGACACUGAACGCGGAACUGCAGAGGUAGCGCCUCCACGGAUAAGGAUUUUGCGAUGCCAGCUGUGGAUGGAAGUCCGAGUAUGGGCACAGGCUCCGGGGCUGCGGACUCGGCAUUGCCAGAAGAAAUGCAGCCACCCAAACCUCCAGGGCAACAUGCUGUAACCGUAUUGUGGUCAUUUGGAAAAUUCCUGGCUACACUUUUACCAGUUUAUCUGGCCGGAUACUUCGGGUUCAGUAUCAGCUUGGUUCUAUUCGGUCUCAUGGUCUACAUCGGAUGGAAACACAGCAGAAACGAGAAAGUAAUGCGUCUGCGGUCAGCUAUGUUCGUAUUGGAGAAUGAGAGAGCAUACACCACUGCGAGGGCUUUUAUGAGUAAACAGGAAUUACCCCCAUGGGUCAACUUCCCUGACGUGGAGAAGGUUGAGUGGAUGAAUCAGAUCCUGCAGCAGGCGUGGCCAUUCGUGGGUCAGUAUCUGGAGAAGUUGCUGGUCGAGACCAUUACUCCAGCCAUACGUGCAUCCAACACCCACCUGCAGAGCCUCAGCUUCACCACAGUCAACCUUGGGGAGAAGGCCAUGAAGGUGGUGGGAGUGAAGGCUCACACGGAGCACGAUAAGCGGCAGGUCUUACUGGACCUAUACAUUAGCUAUGCAGGUGAUGUGGAGAUCAAUGUGGAAAUCAAAAAGUACUUUUGCAAAGCAGGAGUGAAGGGAAUACAGCUACAUGGGAAGUUAAGGGUGAUCCUGGAGCCCCUGAUUGGGGAUGUGCCUCUGGUGGGAGCCAUCACCAUGUUCUUCAUCCGCAGACCUAAGCUGGACAUCAACUGGACGGGGCUGACCAACAUGCUGGAUAUCCCUGGACUCAAUGCCAUGUCGGACACUAUGAUAAUGGAUGCUAUAGCCUCAUACCUGGUCCUCCCCAAUCGCCUCACUAUCCCCCUGGUGGCCGACCUGCACGUUGCGCAGCUUCGCUCCCCUCUCCCACGGGGAGUGGUGCGUAUCCACCUGUUGGAAGCUGAGGAGCUGACAGCCAAGGACACGGUCAUUAAGGGGAUAAUAGACGGGAAGUCUGACCCGUACGCUGUGCUACGUGUGGGCACACAGACCUUCACAUCACACACUGUGGACAGCAACCUCAACCCACAGUGGAGAGAGAUGUUUGAGGUGAUUGUCCAUGAAGUGCCUGGUCAGGAGUUGGAGGUGGAGGUGUUUGAUAAAGACCAGAACCAGGAUGACUUCCUGGGCAGGGUCAAAAUGGAUCUAGAUGUCGUACACAAGGCCAGAGUUGUAGAUAAGUGGUUGAAGCUGAAGGAUGUUACAUCAGGCAGUGUUCACCUCCGUCUGGAGUGGCUCUCUCUGCUGUCCUCUGCUGACCGACUCAGUGAGGUUAUCCAGAGGAACCGGAAUAUGACCUGUAAGACUGGAGACCCUCCCUCUGCAGCCAUCCUGUCUGUCUACCUGGACCGUGCUCAGGACCUGCCUAGGAAGAAGGGCAAUAAGGACCCCAGCCCCAUGGUGCAGCUGUCUGUACAGAACACAACCAAGGAGAGUAGGAUCUGUUAUCUGACCUCUGACCCUGUGUGGGAAGAUGCCUUCACCUUCUAUAUCCAGGACCCUCGCAAACAGGAACUUGAUAUUCAUGUGAAGGAUGAUGACCGGGCUCUGUCUCUGGGCAGUCUGUCCAUCCCGCUUACCCGUCUGCUGGCUAGUCCUGACCUCAGCAUGGAUCAGUGGUUCCAGCUGGACAAAUCUGGCCGCAUCUAUAUCAAUGCUGUUCUGAGGGUUCUGCAUUUAAAUGAGGAUGCCUCUCUUACCAGUUCCGUAUCUCCUCACCUCCCAAGCCCAGGGGCAGGCCACGGAGACGGGGGUACCACGUCAGAGGUAGCCCUCGGGGGAGUGGGUGGAGCCCCCAAACCUGAACCCACACGACCCCAACAGACCACCCCUGACUCGGACUUCGCUAGUGAGGGAGUGCUGCGUAUCCACCUGGCGGAGGCCAGUAACCUGAUAGCCAAGGAUAACUUCAUAGGGGGCAUGGUGAAGGGGAAGAGUGACCCCUACGUCAAGAUCAGGGUGGCAGGAGUCACCUUCCGCAGCCACACCAUCAAAGAGAACCUGAACCCCUCCUGGAACGAACUCUACGAGAUCAUCUUAACCCAGCUGCCUGGUCAGGAGAUCCAGUUUGAGCUGUUUGAUAAAGAUCUGGACCAGGAUGACUUCUUGGGGAGGUUCAAGUUAAACCUGCAAGACAUCAUCAGCCCACAGUUCACUGAUGAGUGGUACACUCUGAAUGAUGUGAAGUCAGGUCGGCUUCACCUGGUCAUGGAAUGGCUCCCCACGGUCUCAGAGUCCGCCAGACUAAAUCAGAUCCUGCAGUACCAGGCCCAGCAGCAGUACCAGAACAAGGCAGUGCCGUCGGCUGCUGUGUUGUUUGUGUACCUGGAGAGAGCCCACGGCCUGCCGUUGAAGAAGAAUGGAAAGGAGCCAAAAGUCGGGGCAGAGAUUUCGCUGAGGGCCAUGACAUACAAGACCAAGGUGUGCGAGUGCUCUACGUCUCCUCGGUGGGAUGAAGCUUUCCACUUCCUGGUUCGUGACCCUACAGAGGAACUCCUUAUAGUGAAGCUGUCCCACAGCUGGGGCCAGGCCAUGGGCACGGUGGUGUUGCCCCUGAGAGAGGUGCUGUCAGAGCAGGGCCUGGUGCUGGACCGAUGGCUGAGUCUGGACGGGGCCCUCCCAGAGAGCCAGAUUCUACUGAGGGCCACACUCAAGAUGUUGAACACCCAGCUGGCAGUGUUUCCUAGUGGUGUGUCUAGUGAUACUACUGGGGAGUGCAGUGAGGAGAGAGACCAUGUCAUCCACAGACGGGACACUGAACCAAACCUGCGACACAGAUCACCGCUCUCUCAAUUGAGGCGAGGAGAUGACGGAGGAGUCGAGUAAAACCAAUUGAGAUUCUCCCCCUGUCUACCUGUGUCUCCUCUCUCAGAGGUGGUCAGAGCCCUGGUCAGAUGAAGCUGCAAAUUGGCUACUCAACAGAGGAGAACAGGCUGUACAUCACCGUCCUCUCCUGCAGGGGCCUGCCAGCUUGUGGGUCUGCUAAGGACAGCUCCGACCCAUAUGUCUCCUUUAUCCUUCUGCCGGACAAGAACAGGACCACCAAGAGAAAGACCAUCACCAAGAAGAGAGACCUCAACCCUGAGUUUAACGAGAGGUUUGACUUUGACUUCACUCUGGAGGAGUGCAUGCAGAGAAGACUUGACCUGACUGUCAAAAACAACGUAUCCUUCAUGAGCAGGGAGAGAGAGCUCAUUGGAAAGUUACAGCUAGAUCUUGACCAGAUAGACCUGCAGAAUGGCGACACACAAUGGUACGAUUUAGUAGAGGAGACCAAUUAGAUGAGAGGAUGGCCUCACUUUCCUGCAGUGCAAUGUUACUUUUACUGUUGCUUCUUCUGUAUGGUUUAUUUGAUAUUUUUAUUCAACUAAUGCGCAAUAGGACCACCACUGAAGUGGCUUAUAUUUCCUAUCAUCCCAACAAUAUCACAAUUUAUCUGUAAAUUGAAUAAUUACAAAUGAUAGAUUUGGUUCCUCUUACUUAGGCCCUGUAAGAAAGAAUUCCUCAAUUCUAGAAUUCCUAAUACCAGUCUGAAAAAGUGUUCUUUAGAAUCUAUUGUCUGAGUAGAUAUUUGAUAUGAAGGCAACUAACUAUUCCUAAAGGAAUCUAUCUUGAAAAGCACAAAGUAUUUUAUCAACCCCAUAGUUCAGAAAAUGCAGCAAAAAUAGUGAACAUUUUAAACCUUCAGGUGUUUUGAGUUUUUCUCAUCACUUCAGUUCUUAUUUACUACAAAAGUAAUUGUUCUCAAAGGGUACUUUCUUACUUUGUUGCAUUGUUUCAUUUGUUUUAUUGCAAAACUAUGUCAACCAUCUUGAGAUAAGUGUUUGAGUGUUAAUUGAGACCAAGGCCCAACAUACUGAGUAACGGGUACCGGUAGAUAUGAUGAUGAAGGUGCUGAAAUGUUACCCUGUAGUUUCACAGCGUUUAUGGGCCAUCAUGGAUGUUUACACUUUUAUUUAAUCAAUCCUUUUGUUACACUGUUUUUCUGUUUCUAAUUUUGCCUUAUAUAUUCCAACACUGGGUAAUUUUUGAGAAGAUUGAGAAUGUUUAUGAUCUGCUGAUUGUGUUCAUUCUGUUCCAAAUGAAGAAGUUUAGUAUGUUUUAUCAGAUUGAUUUAAAAGCUGAUUUUAUAAUUCAGGAAAUGUGUUAGGGAAUGACCCAGACGUCACAUUUGCCACUGAAAACACACUCUAGCUGUACAGUAAUGGACAGUCUGAAUCACUGUGCUUUUAUUUGAUAAAUAACAUUAUAUGUGUUGAAGUUAAAUAUGUAGCUAUAUCAUGAAUGUGUAUGUUCACAAUCCAAGACAGCAUUGUGUCAUAUACAGUAUGUUUGUGUGUGAUUGAAUGUAUUUGUAUGUGUUUGUUGUGCCAGUAGUGGCCUGAGUUCGGCAAUAAGUCAGUCAAUCAGUCAUGUUACAAGUUGUGUGUUACAAAACACAAAGUCUUAGACAAAAUACACCCAAAGGGCCAGUUUCCUAGAUUCCUAGACACAUAUUAAGUCUAGUCCUGGACUAAGAAGCAUGUUCAAUGGAGAUUUAAUGGAGACUGCUGUUUAGUCCAGGACUGGACUUAAUUUGUGAGUCCUGCUCUGAAAGAAGUGAGCUAAUUUUGUGGCAAGGAAAUGUUCAUCCCCCACUGUCAUCUCACUGCCAAGGCUUGAAACAUGUAUUAAAAUACUUGAAAAUGUUUGUUGGCAAAUAAAAUAAAAAAAGUAGAAAACAUGUUGUAUAAGAGCGAGAGUAGAGAGAGACGUAUCGUGAGAACAGCUCCUGCGCUUUCACACAUGCAUAACAAUCACCACGUCUGUGUCGUCGCACUUUCAUUAAACGUUUGCACUUUCAAAA